UACGUAGGUGGCAAGCGUUGUCCGGAUUUAUUGGGUUUAAAGGGUGCGUAGGCGGCCCUGUAAGUUAGUGCUGAAAUAUCCCAGCUUAACUGGGAGGGUGGCAUUGAUACUGCGGGGCUAGAGUACAGAUGAGGUAGGCGGAAUUGACGGUGUAGCGGUGAAAUGCUUAGAUAUCGUCAAGAACACCUAUAGCGAAGGCAGCUUACUAGGCUGUAACUGACGCUGAGGCACGAAAGUGUGGGGAUCAAACAGG
rnacentral:rRNA from 1 species